GACGAACGCUGGCGGCGUGCUUAACACAUGCAAGUCGAACGGUAAGGCCCUUCGGGGUACACGAGUGGCGAACGGGUGAGUAACACGUGGGUGAUCUGCCCUGCACUUCGGGAUAAGCCUGGGAAACUGGGUCUAAUACCGGAUAGGACUCCGGACUGCAUGGUCUGGGGUGGAAAGCUUUUGCGGUGUGGGAUGGGCCCGCGGCCUAUCAGCUUGUUGGUGGGGUGAUGGCCUACCAAGGCGACGACGGGUAGCCGGCCUGAGAGGGUGACCGGCCACACUGGGACUGUGAUGCGGCCCAGACUCCUACGGGAGGCAGCAGUGGGGAAUAUUGCACAAUGGGCGCAAGCCUGAUGCAGCGACGCCGCGUGAGGGAUGACGGCCUUCGGGUUGUAAACCUCUUUCAGCAUCGACGAAGCGAAAGUGACGGUAGGUGCAGAAGAAGGACCGGCCAACUACGUGCCAGCCGCCGCAGUAA
rnacentral:rRNA from 1 species